GCUGUCACAAAACAACAAUCCCAGUGAUUUUAAAGUACCGGCUUGGUUGUUUGUUUAAUAUUAAAAUAUUAAGGCUAAAAGAGAACUUGAGGUCAAAGGAAGCAAGCAAUACUUGGGACUCCUUGCAGUCUCUCACUGGGAGGUCUGAGGCAGUUUGUGCAUGUUACACACAAGCAGGUAAGUUCUCUGCAUGGUGUUAGGAGUAUAGCAGUGGGAUCAGGGUUCCAGGCCAGGCCCAGAGGUAGGACCCUAGGCCAGCCUUGGGUUCACUCACUAACAAAGCUUUUCCUCUGUAUGUGGGGUCUAUCAGGAAGCACGUAGACAGAGACAUAUUAUGCCUGCACCCCUAGGGUCUAUGAACUGUAGUGUGGAGAGAAACCAUGGCAUUGAAAGCGACCUGCAUAGGGGACCUGUAAACCACCAACCAAAGAGUAGACAUGGAGGGACUCAUGACUCCAGCUGCAUACGCAGCAGAGGAUGGAAUUAUCUGGCAUCAAUAGGAGAAGCCCUUGGUUCUGUGAAGUCUCAUUUCCCCAGUAUAGGGGAAUGCCAGGUUAUUGAGUUGGGAGGGGGUGGGUGGGAGUGGGGGCAUCUUCAUAGAAGCAGGGAGAGAGGGAGGGGGAUUGGAGAGGGGGAUAACAUUUAAAAUGCAAAUACAUAAAAUAUCCAAUAAAGAAAGAAAGAAAGACAGAAAGAAAGAAAGAAAGAAA
rnacentral:lncRNA from 1 species